GAAACUCUGGUGGAGGCCCGUAGCGGUUCUGACGUGCAAAUCGAUCGUCGCACUUGGGUAUAGGGGCGAAAGACUAAUCGAACCAUCUAGUAGCUGGUUCCCUCCGAAGUUUCCCUCAGGAUAGCUGGAGUUGUUGAGCAGUUUCGUCGGGUAAAGCGAAUGAUUAGAGGUAUCGGGGUUGAAAGGGCCUCGCCCUAUUCUCAAACUUUAAAUCGGCGAGAAGGGUUGUCUUGCCUGCCGGAAGGCAUCCCUUGAAUGCAGGGGCUCCAAGUGGGCCGUUUUUGGUAAGCAGAACCGGCGAUGCGGGAUGAACCGAACGUUGGGCUAUGGCGCCGGAGUCGACGCUAAGCAGAUACCAGGAAAGGUGU
rnacentral:rRNA from 2 species